rnacentral:rRNA from 1 species
CCCUUAGAUGUUCUGGGCCGCACGCGCGCUACACUGACGAAUGCAACGAGCUUAUAACCUUGGCCGAAAGGUCUGGGUAAUCUCCAAAUUUCGUCGUGAUGGGGAUAGAUUAUUGCAAUUAUUAAUCUUCAACGAGGAAUGCCUAGUAAGCGCAAGUCAUCAGCUUGCGUUGAUUACGUCCCUGCCCUUUGUACACACCGCCCGUCGCACCUACCGAUUGAAUGGUCCGGUGAAAUCUCCGGACUGGCGUGAGUCGGAGCAAUCUGACAAACACCGGAAAGUUGAUUAAACCUUACCAUUUAGAGGAAGGUGAANUCGUANCA